UGUGUGUAGAUAACCCUUGACCCUGGGCCU
rnacentral:piRNA from 1 species